CGCUUGUGGUUGGUAUUAUGAUGGAUGCAUGCAUGCGCAUAACUUACACCUACAUAAUUGGACUGAUGGAUGUGGUGCUCUAAACUAACUAUGAGAUAUUGGUUGCCCCGUCACGGGCUGAAAACGUGACCGUGGUUAGUUUAAGGCCAUAUGAGAAGUGCACUGGCACGUGUAGCAAGUCUGGUUAAAGCGUAUGAGAUCAUUUUAGUGCUUUGAUUUUCACAAAUAGUGCCGAAUUUAUUGCAGGUGUUAUUUUUCUGCUUCAUAAUUCAUGCUGAUUAGACUGUUGUUUUUGAGCAAUUGGAAAUAAAAAAAGGAAUCGUGUUAAUUUGUCAAUUACUUUUGAUCUCUUUCCAAGUUCUCCAGUGGGGUUGUUAACAGCCUGUUUUGAUAUUUGUGCAGCUAGUCUUCUCUCUCCUCCUUCCUUGUCUAAUAUUUUCUCAACUUGGAAGAGCAAUUACUCUAGAAAAUUUGUUGGAGUGGUGGUAUAUUCCUGUCAAUGUCAUUAUGGCUA